rnacentral:rRNA from 1 species
GACGGAGGAUGCAAGCGUUAUCCGGAAUUAUUGGGCGUAAAGCGUCCGCAGGUGGACAUACAAGUCUGCUGUCAAAGUGCAGAGCUUAACUCUGUAAAGGCGGUGGAAACUGUAGGUCUUGAGUAUGGUAGGGGUAGAGGGAAUUCCCGGUGUAGCGGUGAAAUGCGUAGAUAUCGGGAAGAACACCAGUGGCGAAAGCGCUCUACUGGGCCAUAACUGACACUGAGGGACGAAAGCUAGGGGAGCGAACCGG